rnacentral:rRNA from 1 species
GACGAACGCUGGCGGCGUGCUUAACACAUGCAAGUCGAGCGGUAAGGCCCUUUCGGGGGUACACGAGCGGCGAACGGGUGAGUAACACGUGGGUGACCUGCCCUCAGCUCUGGGAUAAGCCUGGGAAACUGGGUCUAAUACUGGAUAUGACUCCACGGUGCAUGUCGUGGGGUGGAAAGCCUUGUGCGGCUGAGGAUGGGCCCGCGGCCUAUCAGCUUGUUGGUGGGGUGANGGCCUACCAAGGCGACGACGGGUAGCCGGCCUGAGAGGGCGACCGGCCACACUGGGACUGAGACACGGCCCAGACUCCUACGGGAGGGCAGCGGGUGGGGAAUCUUGCGCAAUGGGCGAAAGCCUGACGCAGCGACGCCGCGUGAGGGAUGACGGCCU